CCGGAAGGUGCGGCUGGAUCACCUCCUUUCUAAGGAGCCUCUUCCUCACUCGGACCGUCACACAGGUGACCGGGGAGUAGGACAGAAACCGUUUCGGAUGCAUACGUCAUCCGGCGGUGCUCACGGGUGGAACACUGACAACCAGACAUCGCGUAUCGGUGGGUCUUCAACGACUCCGCCGGCGAUGUCUAUAUCGAUGCACUGUUGGGUCCUGAGAGAACACGCGAGUGUUUUUUCUAGGCAAGAACGAAUACACGCAACGUUGGUUGUGUCUAUCGGUCCCCGGUUUGUUCGGGGGUGUCUGAGAGCAGCGUGAACAGGGUUGUGUGUGUGUUGUUUGAGAACUGCACAGUGGACGCGAGCAUCUUUGUUGUAAGUAAUGAAGAGCGUAC
rnacentral:misc_RNA from 1 species